CAAUAGCGUAUAUCAAAGUUGUUGCAGUUAAAAAGCUCGUAGUUGGAUUUGUGGCGUACGGUGUGUUCCGGGCACUUGUUGUCUGAGUAACCUGCUGUUGCCAUCCUUGGGUGGAACCUGUGUGGCAUUAGGUUGUCGUGCAGGGGAUGCCCAUCAUUUACUGUGAAAAAAUUAGAGUGUUCAAAGCAGGCUUAUGCCGUUGAAUAUAUUAGCAUGGAAUAAUGAGAUAGGACUUUCUUGCUAUUUUGUUGGUUUGCGCAAAGAGGUAAUGAUUAAUAGGGACAGUUGGGGGUAUUCGUAUUCCAUUGUCAGAGGUGAAAUUCUUGGAUUUUUGGAAGACGAACUACUGCGAAAGCAUUUACCAAGGAUGUUUUCAUUAA
rnacentral:rRNA from 1 species